GACGAACGCUGGCGGCGUGCUUAACACAUGCAAGUCGAACGAAGAGCGACGGAAGCUUGCUUCUAUCAAUCUUAGUGGCGAACGGGUGAGUAACGCGUAAUCAACCUGCCCUUCAGAGGGGGACAACAGUUGGAAACGACUGCUAAUACCGCAUACGAUCUAACCUCGGCAUCGAGGAUAGAUGAAAGGUGGCCUCUACAUGUAAGCUAUCACUGAAGGAGGGGAUUGCGUCUGAUUAGCUAGUUGGCGGGGUAACGGCCCACCAAGGCGAUGAUCAGUAGCCGGUCUGAGAGGAUGAACGGCCACAUUGGGACUGAGACACGGCCCAGACUCCUACGGGAGGCAGCAGUGGGGAAUCUUCCGCAAUGGACGAAAGUCUGACGGAGCAACGCCGCGGGAGUGAUGACGGCCUUCGGGUUGUAAAGCUCUGUUAAUCGGGACGAAAGGCCUUCUUGCGAAUAGUGAGAAGGAUUGACGGUACCGGAAUAGAAAGCCACGGCUAACUACGUG
rnacentral:rRNA from 1 species